rnacentral:rRNA from 1 species
UACAGAGGGGGCAAGCGUUGUUCGGAAUUACUGGGCGUAAAGGGCGCGUAGGUGGCCUUCUAAGUUGAACGUGAAAUCCCUGGGCUCAACCCAGGAACUGCGUCCAAGACUGGGAGGCUUGAAUCCGGGAGAGGGAUGCGGAAUUCCAGGUGUAGCGGUGAAAUGCGUAGAUAUCAGGAGGAACACCGGUGGCGAAGGCGGGUCUCUGGGCAGUAACUGACGCUGAGGAGCGAAAGCGUGGGGAGCGAACAGG